rnacentral:lncRNA from 1 species
GCAGGAACAACAUCCAUAUGCAUUCCAACAAAAGACACAACUUUUUUUGGAUCAGUACCAGGAUACUCCACAAUAAGGUUACCCCUAUUAGGAGUAUAAGCAAUAUGAUUGAUGAUCAGUGGUCCGCCAUUUUUGUUGCUAAAUGGAUUAAGGAUAUCAAGAACAUGUUUCACAAUCCUGUCUUCCUCCGGGAUAAGGUCUGGUGGAUUGUUCUGUACAUAUUUCGACUCGCCGAUCACUUUCUUCAUAAGAGCUACGAAUGAAUCCUUGUUUAGAUCGCCCAAAAUCUGCUUUACAUCAGCCAUAUUAAUAAUAUGGGAAUGAAAGUGCUUCUUUUCACAAAGCUAAGUUUGAUAUGGUACCAAUAUGUAUGGGAGUUGGUUCAUUUUAUAUUACGUGAUUCUUUUGGCUUGGAUACUCUUGUAAAAUCCAUGUCCACAUAAUAUAUGUAUCGUGUAAAACGUGUUGUACAGUAUGCCACCAUUAUCAAUAUUUUUCCAUUAUACUAAAUAUAGUUGUUUAAUAAUCGAUAAGCUUGUGCUUGUUUGGAGAGAUCAUCAUAAAUGAUUAAAGUGUGUCGUUCACGAUACAUAAAAUAUUCAGCCAGUACUUUCCCUGGCAUACGGAAAGAAAAUCCAGGAUGACGGCUUUCAAAAGCCGAGUAAGGGACGGGGAGAGGGCGACUAAAAAGGAGGCUCGACCUUGGCCUUAUCUUGCAGGUGACGACGACGUCGGGAAGGUAAGCGAGACAGAAGUCUCAUUGUUCGUGGUGUUGCAAUGAAUUCAUUGGAUGAUAAUAGCGUAUAAAGAUUUUCUUUCUACUUCCUCCUCUAUCUAAGUGUCAAGUUUUAGCUCAUAGGUGGUUCAUUUUGGGGUCUUCCUUCUCGAAUUGUUCUCUCAAGCGAGUUGAUUAUCACACUGAUCUCUGUGUGAGAUUUCUUUUGUCAUUUUUAAGGCUUUCAAGGACUCCUGAGUUGGUGAUUUGUCGGAUAGAGUAUUAGAACGGAAAGAUCCAUUAGAUAAUGAACUAUUGGUUCUAAGCAGGCGGAUUUGCCUUAGGCGAAGGUGUUUCAUGUGACACGGCUUCGUCAAGUUUUUUUAUUAAAUAAUUAUAAAUAACUGAAAAGCAAACUGUGAAUAAAGAACAAAUAGAAUAAAGUGACACUCCUUGAACCAAAUAGGAGCGUAGCUCAGUUGGUCAGGGUAUUUCACUUCUUGUUUGAAGUUGGGUGUUCAAACCUCAAUACCACAUUUUUCUUUCUUGGUUAAUUUUUUUAAUUUAAAUAUAUUUCUCUACACACAUAAAAAUGCUAAAAAAAAUUCUUAAUUAUUUAAUAUAAUAUUAUAAUUUUUUUUAAUUUUAAAAUGCGACACCGCUUAUGAAAAAUCCUGCGUACGCCACUGUUAAUAAUAUUUGUUCAGUUUGAAAAACUAACCCUUUUAUAUCUAUGCAUUUAAUAUCUAAUAAUACUUUUCAAAGUAUUAAAUUUAAUAUAUUCAAAAAAUAAUAUAAUAAUAUUAUUGCUUGUAUUAUCUAUUGUUUACUUACCAAUUCUAGGAAGAUAAUUAUAUAUAUGUUGAUUAAUGAUUAUCAUAUAUAUAAUUUAGACAACUCCCAAUCAUUUGGCUCUAUAUACUACGUACUUCUUAGUUAUUUCAAUCAAAUAAUAUAUAUUAGAGCAUUUUAAUGUGUAACACUAAGCUACUAAUAAAAGACCUAUAGAAUGCUAAAGAGAGAGACUCAAAAAAGAGUACGGGCCCUUUUUUUUUUAAUGAGUCGAUUUAAAUACAUAACAUGCAUGUAUUAAAUUUGUGUAUAUAUUUAGUGCGGAUAAAUUUUUCCGACUACAAUAAAAAGUGUAAGUUAAUAGCACAAGAUGGGCGAUGGGGUCCACAAAUCAGGGCAGUAGAAUUCUUUUAGGAGGACAAAUAAAUAAAUAGGUAAACAUGCCUUGGCAUUUUUGUCCUUUAAAAGCAAUAGUAAAACUAAUAACACAAGACAUUCAAAGCUAUUAAUUAAUAAUAUACCGAAAGUGCCCCUUAUCGACAAGCAAGUACGACAACCAAGAGCUGCUCGAGUUAGUUUCUUGUAUAUAUACUCCCCCUCCCCCUUCUGCUCGUGAUGUGGACAAAACUAACACCACCACUAUGUGGUCCAUUUAAAUGUAAUCACCCUUCUGCUCGUAAUGACUGAUGUGGACAAAACUAGCAUCACUACUAUGUGGUCCAUUAAUUUAUAUUAUAUAUUAAUAUUAAUGUAUCAUCGAACUAAAAAAAUCAAAUUUAUAAAGCAACAGUCCAAAUAUAUUGAAAUCGAUACGUAAGAUAUCUGUUUAGAAAGCUACCUGGUAAUUGGAAUUGAUGUAAUUACUAGGAUAGUAAUUACCAGUCUAGUAAUUACACUGACAUGUUUAUUUGCCUCACUGUAAUUACACAUGUUCUGUUUGGAUGCACAAUUGCAAUCAUAAAAUUAUAUUAAAUUUUAAAAAUAAAAAUAAUUAUUUAAAAUUUAUACUAGACAAAUAAGAAACUUUAAAAUAAAAAUUAAUUAUUUAAAAUUUAUACUAGACAAAUAAGAAACUUUAUAAAUUAUAUUAAAUUAAAUAUUUAAGAUAUAUAUUAUUUUUUUGAAAAUAUAUUAAUUAAUAAACAUAUGUUCUUAACUAAUAUUAUGAAAAAAUAAUUGAUUUAUAUUUUUUCAAAUUAAUAUAUUUCAAUUGAAUUGAUCACAAAAACUAAAAUUAUGAAGUUUCUACGAACAUCGUGAAAUGCAUGUUUGAUAAAAAUAUUAAUAUAUAAAUAAAAUAUCAUAAAUUAUUAAAAUGUUUGACAAAAAAAAUUAAAACAAAAAUAAAAAAGAAGAAAUUGAAAAAUAAUCAGCUGGUAAUUACACCAUGUAAUUACCAGCAAUUCACAACCUCUCCCUGUGAAUUGGAGAGUGUAAUUACCCUCUGUCAAUUACACCAGUUACCUGCUAACCAAGUAAUUACAUGUCCAAUCAAACAGGACAGACAAUGUAAUUACACCCAAUUACACCAAAUCUAAUUACCAGGAUGGCUUUCCAAACAGGCCCUUGAUGUAAUCACUAGAUUAAUUCCACAUACAUCUGUAAAAUACAAAAUAUGUUAACUGUAUUAAAAAAAAAAGUAAGUGUUAAAUAAUCUUAGUGACGUGUUUUAUAAUCGUGUGAGUCUAUAUCCAAAAUAAAUAAUAUCGCUAGUAACUUUGCCCCAACUCCAUAUAUAUUUAUUUAUUUAUUUUUAAAAUAAAAGUUUGAUUUUUCGUUGCACCUAAGUUCUGUGACCCUUACACCGAAUCGAAGAAUCAAACUUUUGAAAAAAUAACAUUGACACCGAAAUUAUGAAGUUUCUAUGGACAUCGUGAAAUGCAUGUUUGAUAAAAAGAUUAAUAUGUAAAUAAAAUAUCAUAAAUUAUGAAAAUGUUUGACAAAAAGAUAAUCUAUCAAGUCUAAUUAAAAAACGACUUGCAAUGUGAAUUCAAUAUUACUAAAACAAAAUGAAACUGAAAAUAUAACAUAAGUUAUAAAUUCAAAACAAAAAAUUUAACAUAAUACUCUUAUCGCAAAUUUCAACAUAGCAUACAUAAAUAUGAUUUAUUUUAUUUUUUUAAAAGAAACAUAAGUCUAUAACCUUACUUAACAAUAAAUUCUAUUCUAAUUUAAAAAUUAGAAUUACUAAUAAAAUUAUGCUAAUGAGAAAAUAAGCAUGACAUAAAGAAAUAGAUAUAAGAAAAAUUGCAUAGAAUCACGUGAAGUAAGGUUGAGAAAUGAGAAGAAAAUGAAAUAUAAAAAUAUAAAAUAAACUUUUAGAAAUUUUUAGAAUAAUAAAAAAAACUUAAAAUAAUAGAAAUAAAAAAAUUAUUAACAAAAAAUAAAAAUAGAAAUAAAAAGAAGAAAUUGAAAAGUAAUCAACUAGUAAUUACACCAUGUAAUUACCAGCAAUUCACAGCAUCUCCCUGUUAAUUGGAGAGUGUAAUUACCCUCUGCCAAUUACACCAAUUACCUGCUGACCAAGUAAUUACCUGUCCAACCAAACAGGACAGACAAUGUAAUUACACCCAAUUACACCAAAUCCAAUUACCAGGAUGGCUUUCCAAACAGGCCUUUAAUGUAAUCACUAUAUUAAUUCCACGUACAUAUGUAAAAUACAAAAUAUGUUAACUAUAUUUUUUUUUAAAAGUAAGCAUUAAGUAAUCUUAGUGACGUGUUUUAUAAUCGUGCCAAUCUAUAUCCAAAAUAAAUAAUAUCACUAGCGACUUUGCCCCUAAUACAUCUCUUACGAAUUAGAUUGUCACAUAAAAUAUGUAGCAAUUGAGUUCGGCAAAAUCAACUCAUAAAACCUUUUUUUUACAAGGCAAGAAAAAACUGCAUGUAAAAUUUUAGGGGCUAAAAAGUUUUUCUUUUAUUAGGGUAAAGGCAAUGGUGUGGGCCCUAUACACCUUACAAGGCGCAGAACAACUUGUAAGCCUCUGUCUGCUUGCGGCUCGUAAGGCGUAUACGGACUUGCACCUUGCUACCCUAAUUUAGACACCGUUUAUCUUAUCGUUUAAAUGUUAUCCUUUUCGUUUUAAAUUUGUUUUUGUUGUCCUUUUGGAAUUUUUGAUCAAGUUUUUUGCCCUUUACGUUUCGAACUCGUAUAAAAGGAGUUUAAAAUAGGGUAAACUACAUAAAUCCCACUAGUUUAAGUCCUAAUUACUAAGAUUCUCGAUAGUUUUAAAUAUUACUUCCUAUACCAUAUUUCGUGCUUAGGAUACACGAGUAUGAAUCCGCGAGAUACAUUUAUCAACCGGAUUUUAAAAUUGGGAAAUAUAUUUUAUUUGUUUGAAUUAAAUGGUUGUAACUGAUUUCCUUAAUUAGAGGAGUAAUUAAGAAUUUUCAAAAUUCAUGAACAAUUAAUUCUAGAAAUUUAAAUUAAUCAAAUCCCUUAAUAUAAUGUGGAAAUCUAGGAGUGUAUCUAUUUUAAUUAAUUUCUUUUUUAUUGUUCUCUGACAAAAGAAAUUCAUUAAUAUUAUUAAUAACAGAAAUGUGUAUAUCUUGGUCAUGUAAUUUGAUUAAUUUUAUUUUUAUUAAUCUUUAAAUAUAAAUCAAUUAAUUUGAUGUAUCUAUUAUCAAUAUAUGAUGUAUUCAAUAAACUAAAUACUUAGAUACAUGAGUAUAUACAAGUACAUUCAUAUGUAUCAUAGAAACAUCUAGUAUUAAUUUCAUGUAUCUACUAUCAAUAUAUAAUGUAUCGCAAACUAAACACUUAGAUACAUGAAUAUCAUACAACUACAUUCAUAUGUAUCAUAGAAGUAUCUAGUAUUAAUUUCAUUAUAUUUGUUAUAUGUAUCUAAUAUUGUCCCUGUUAUACAAACACUAUUGGAAAAAUUCAACCAAAAGUUGAUAGAUAACACAUUUCAUCUGUCGCUGAUCUUUAUCCGCUGGGAAUGGAGCCGUAAUUGGUAGUUUCUAGUUGGUUUUACCGUCAACCCGUACUAAGAAAAUUCAACCAAAAGUUGAUAGAUUACAUAUUUCUUCUGUGGCCGAUCUUUUUUCGCUGGGACUGGAGCCGCAACUGGCCGUUCCUGGUUGGUUUUGCCGUCACCGCGACACUAUCAUCAACAAGAUGUCCCUCGACUUCAUUGAGAAGGAUGCAAAGAACUCCUGAUUUGCGCAGAGGCAUAAGAAUUUAAUUAUACUCCAUCAUUAAUCUUGGUGAUGAAUGGAGGCUAUCUUACCGGAAAACCUUUUUUACUUUUGUACUUCUUUUUUAUGAUUAUGUAAGACAAAUUUUGUACUGUAUAAAAUAUCUCUGAAUUGUUGGUAGAGAAAUAUUUUGAAUUGCUAAUUGACCAUUAAUUAAGGAGUUCAAAUUUUAAGAAUAUUAUUCAAUACAUUUGUGUAUCUGAUUAAAUAUUUUGAAAUAUAUGGUAUAAACAUUAAAAGUGGUAUUAUGUGUAAUUAUUUUAAACUAGAGGUAAAUUAAGUAUAUAUGGUAGGGAAGUAUGUCUAGUUAGAUAGUUUUUCCUUUAAAAUAUAAUAAUGCCAGUGUUAACGAAGAAAAUAUAAAAAGACAAAACAAUGUUUUUUUGAUUUCUUCUAUUUGAUUGAGAUUAAAGAGAAUAAAAUAAUAUAUUUUAAUAUAUAUGUGUGUGUGUGUUUACUUUAAUUACAAAUAGUUACUAAUAUUUUCUAUGAAAGAAUUAACACAUAAUUUAUUCUUGAUAAAAAUUUGAGGCCCUUAAAAUUGAGGGCCUAAGAUAUAUGCCUUAAUUUUAUAAGCAUUGAGCCAGCACUAUGUUGUACAGUGGAGGGGCUAAUGAAUAUACACACAAUAUAAAUGUGUUGUAAAAUGAGUGUCGUACAUAUUGAAAUAAUACAAUAAAAAUGAUUUUUGGCGGCAAUAAGUAUGUGUAUUAUAAAGAGUGUUAAAAAUUUUACUAGCAUUAAUUAAUUGUCAUUAGAUCUAAUGUCGCUAUAGGCUUCAAAAACAUUUAUAAAAAGUGUUAAAUGUCAAUAAAAAUCAUAUUAGCUAUUAUCAUUAAUUAAUUACCGUUAAAUAUCAUUUUUGAUAAAUUAACACUUAUUUCUAAUUGGACAAAAUGAUAAGAUAUUCUUAUCUUGAUCAGUCUAGUUUUUUAUGCACAAUGUAAAUAUGUUGUAACGAGUGGUGUACAUAUUGACACUUGUUUCUAAUAUAAGACAAUUAUAAUAUAUUCUUAUCUAGAUCAUUACGUGUAGUUUUUUGAUGAAAAUUUUAGCAUGCGUAAAAAUCGUACCAAUCAAUAAAUCAAAUAAAUAUCCAAGUUUGAUAUGGUAAUAGGAACCAAUGUGAGAGUUAUUCAUUUUAUAUUACGUGAUUUUUUUGGCUUGGAUAUUGUUGUAAAAUCCAUGGUCCACAUAAUAUAUAUCUUGUAACAUGUGUUGUACAGUACACCCUCAGUCCAUCUUUAUUUGUUUAUUAUAUUAAAAUAAUUAUUUAAUAUAAUAUUUGUUCACUUUAAAAAACUAAGAGAUGAUUUAUCCAUUUGUAUCUAUAUCUAAUAUAUUUUUUUAAACAUUAAAUUUAAUAUAUUCAAAGCGUAAUAUAUCAAUAUUGUUCAUAUUAUUUAUUGUUAUCUAAGUUGUGUACCAAAUCAAUAGUAGACAACUAUUAUUGGACAUAUGAAGUAUUUUUAGCUUGGAUAUUAUUGUGAAAUAGAUAUCCAUGUUGUUGGGUAUAUAGCAAAAGUUAAUGGGAAAUGGAGGGAAGAUGAAAAGGGAGAAACUUGAAAAGUUCUCUUAUGCUUUAGUAAAAAGGCAAUUAUCCCUCAUUGGCGGUGGAAAGAAAAAUAGAAGUGUUUAAAUAGAAAAACACUUCUAUUAGUUGUUAAAAGGGUUGGAAAGAGAGGACGAAAUUUCGUUAGCCGCCGGCAAACUAAAAGUGUGAAUCUCCGGUGGCAAUGACCACCAAAUCGCCCGGUCAACCUCCCACUGGGGUUGAUCUAGAUCUGAAGGACAGAGAACCAGCUUCUAGGCUUGAUUUUUUAGCUGCUGUAAGACCAUCAAGGGAAGCUAAUGCGACGGCAUUGAAACCUAUUGUGUAUUUGCAUGGUGAACCAAGAAUAGUAUGGGAGGAGGAAGAGGUUAAACGGAUGAUCGUGAAGGAGAACUUAGAGUAUGCAGUGAUAGGAAAAUUUUCCUAUGGUUGGACUGAGAUUCAAGAUUUGAGAAAAUUAAUUCCGAAGCAAUGCGAAUUGAAAGGUGAAUGCAACAUAGGAUUGUUAAGCAAUAGGCAUAUUCUGAUAAGGGCAUCAUGCUUGGAGGACUACGUGAAUCUAUUAUCAAAGCCGGCCUUUUACAUAUUGCAUCGUGGGUGGACAUAUCCAAUGCGAACGUUGAAGUGGGAGCCAAUGUUCGAUUCGGAGGAGGAAACAUCAACGGCCAUGGCAUGGAUUUCUUUUCCAUCCCUGCCUCCAAAUUUCUUUGUGAAGGAGGCAGUUUUUUCAUUAGCAGCUGCGGUUGGAAAGCCUUUACAGGUUGAUCUAGCAACAAGGAAUCAGACUCGACCUAGUUGUGCACGGGUGAAGGUGGAGGUGGAUUUAUUACGUGAAUUUCCAAAAAGAAUAAACGUAGGGAUGCGAAAACAAUCAGGGGAGAUUACGGAGAAAUGGAUUACAAUAAGAUAUGAUCAUGUUCCAAAAUAUUGCAAGAACUGUAAGAAUCAGGGUCAUGACGAGGAGCAAUGUUAUGUGUUACAUCCGGAUUUAUAUCCCAAGGAAAAAGUAGGGAAGGAAGAAGAGAUGGAAACGAGGGAGGAAAAAAGGGAGAUUCAGGGGAAGGGGAGAGUCCAGAUGGAGGGUAAUAUUUUAGGAAAAGAAAGUGAGGAAUUUAAGAUUCAUACUAAUAGAAGGGGAGCAGGAGGGGGUCGACAGGGGGGUGGAAAACCAGAACAAAUAUGGCAUAAGAAAAAUAUUCAACACGAGAAAGAGGGAAUUACGACUGGCAAUAAGUUUGGGGCGCUGAAAGAUCAGGAUGAAUGUGGGGAGACACAAGGUGGACAAAAGGAAAGGGGGGAAGAGGUAGAAACGAAAAAGUGGGUUGAGGAAGUGUUACAAAAAACAAGCAGAAUAGAUAAGGGGAAUAGUUUGAAAAAUACAGUGGAGAUUAUAAACAGUGUAGAUGAAGAGGAGACGGCAAAGAGUGAAAGCUUCAAGAAUAGUGGAAACAUUGAGGUAAGCGGGAAACAAAAAUGCAGUGAACAGGAUGCCAGAAGUAGUAAUAUGGGGAAUACAUGUUUGGAGAUGGUGGAAUUUCAUGAGGUGCAGGAUAACGAUGAGGUUUUGCCUGAGAAUCAGAGGAGGGAGAAUCGGAUUCAGGGGGAUGAUUUUCCUGAUUUGCAAGAGCUGACAUCGGAGGAAAUUCAAAAAAGAAGGGAUAAGGAGGAAAACGAUGAUUUUGAUGAAAAUAUUGAUAAGGUGGUAAGGGAUGGGGAUUUAUCUCCAAGACAAAUAAAAUUAUUGGAGAGUGGAGCUAAACGAUCAAAGUCAAGUCAGCAUACAGUUCCACUUCAAGUCAAAAUAAGGAGUAGUAAAGAGAGAUCGUCGGAAGAUAGUUUCCAAUGAUUGGUAAAACUAUAUUUUGGAACAUUAGAUUGGUUAAAUCUCAAAAGGCUUUUGAGAGAUUAAUGGGUCUAAAUAGGCGUCAUAAAUAUAAUUUUAUAGCUCUUAUGGAACCUUUUAAAGAUCCAAAAGAGUUAGAUCAUUACAAAACAAAGUUAGGAUUUAAAAAUGUGUAUUGCAAUGUAUCUGCAAAAAUUUGGGUUUUUUGGGAUGAUGGUUGGAGGGGUGAAGUGGUGAGUAAUAGUAUACAACAAAUAAGUUUGAAGUUGAGCAAGAACAAUGUGGAGAUGAUUUGUAUUGCAGUGUAUGCUAGGUGUGAUGCAUUAGAAAGAUUGGAGUUGUGGGAAGAACUGGAGGCUUUAUCUGCUAAUAUUAAUAUACCUUGGAUGGUAUGAAGAGAUUUCAAUGUUAUUUUGAAUGAGGAGGAAAAACUUGGGGGAUUAGAUUUUACUCAGUUUGAGGAUUUGGAUUUCAGUCAAUGCAUUAGUAACUGUGCUCUAACAGAACUUAAGUUUGUGGGUAACAUGUUUACUUGGUGGAAUAGUAGAAUUGAAAGAGACAGUAUUUUUAAGAGACUUGACAGAGUCUUUGGAAAUCAGGAGUUUAAUAAUAUGUUACCUACUAAUGAAGUUCAUCAUUUAGUGAGACAAGGUUCGGAUCACGCACCUUUACAUGUCAUGUGCAAUUCAGAAGAGGAAGUGACAAACAAACCUUUUAAGUUUCUCAAUUUCUGGACAAGGCAUCCCCAAUUUCAGCAGAUUAUUGAGGAUAACUGGAGAAUUGAUUUUGUGGGCUGCCCGUUUAUUGAAUUUCAGGCGAAAAUGAAAAAAGUGAAAGGGGCGCUGGCAAAAUGGAGCAAGGAUACUUUUGGAAACAUAUUCCAAAAGGUUGCAACCUUGGAGGAUGAAGUCAAGGUCAAGGAGAUAUAAUUGGAGAUUAAUACAAAUGAAGAAAAUAGGGCAGAUUUGAAAAGGUCAGAAGCUAAGUUAAAAAAAUUUCUCUACUUGGAGGAGGAAUUUUGGAAACAAAAAGCUGGGAUGAGAUGGUUUCAGGAUGGGGACAAGAAUACUAGAUUUUUCCAUAAUUAUGUCAAAGGAAGAAGAAAAAAAUUGCACCUGGGGGAAAUUCAAACGGAACAAGGUGAUGUAGUGAAUAACAGCUAUGAGAUUGGUGCAGCGGCAAUCUCUUAUUUUGAAGGGCAGUUCAGAGAAGGAGGAACAAGUAAAGAUGAAAAUUUGUUGAGGCUUAUUCCCAAAUUGAUUACCCCUAGUCAAAAUGAGGAAAUGGUUCAUAUGCUAACUAAGGAGGAGGUCAAGAUGGUAGUCUUCGCUUUGAACGGAGAUAGUGCAAGCGGCCCAGAUGGUUUCUCGGGAUUAUUCUUUCAAUGUUGCUGGGAACUUAUAGGUGAGGAUAUUACCAAAAUGGUGAAGGCCUUUUUUUGUGGUAAGCAGAUUCCUCGUUUUAUUUCUCACACGAAUUUGGUGUUACUCCCAAAAAAGGAGAGAGUUGUAAACUUCACAGAUCUUAGACCAGUGAAUUUAAGUACGUUUGCAAAUAAAAUCAUCUCUCGAGUGUUGCAUGAAAGGAUUUCGAAAAGGUUACCCAAUAUUAUUUCAAGGAACCAGUCAGGUUUUAUUAAAGGGAGAAACAUUACAGAAAAUGUUCUAUUAGCUUAGGAGAUAAUAAAGGAUAUAAAUAGAAAGAAGAAAAAUCACAAUGUAGUAGUAAAGUUGGACAUGGCAAAAGCUUAUGAUAAGAUCUCUUGGUUCUUUUUAAUUAAAGUGUUAAGGAGCUUUGGAUUUUCUGAAAUCAUUAUUGAUAUGGUGUGGAGGCUAAUUUCAAAUAACUGGUAUUCAAUAUUAGUUAAUGGAAAGUCAUAUGGUUUUUUUAAGUCGACAAGAGGGCUCAAACAAGAAGAUCCUUUAUCUCCAACAUUGUUCAUACUGGCUGCAGAAGUUUUAGCUAGUGGGUUAAAUAAUCUGAAUGAAGAUGUAGAUUUCAGGGGUUAUGGAAUGCCAAAAUGGAGUCCUCCCAUUAAUCAUUUGUCAUAUGCAGAUGAUACAAUACUCUUUUGCUCAGGGGAGAUAAAGUCUAUUCGUAAGAUGAUGGGAGUGUUGAGGAGAUAUGAAAAUAUUUCCGGACAGAUGGUCAACUUAAAUAAAAGUUUCUUUUAUCCACAUGAUGAUACUCCGUUAAUUGUUGGGAUGAGAUUAAGAAGAAUUGCAGGCAUAAAGCAGGGCUCGUUCCCAUUUAUUUAUCUAAGCUGCCCAGUUUUUUAUGGAAGAAAAAGGGUUUCACACUUUGAAGAAUUGGUGAAGAAGGUGCAGAGUAGACUAAUGAUGUGGCAGAACAAGUGGCUGUCAUAUGGAGGAAAGUACAUCUUGAUAGUAAAUGUGCUUCAGUCAAUGCCAAUUUAUUUGUUAUCAGCGAUGAACCCUCUAAAGAGAGUCAUUGAGAAGUUGCAUAAACUGUUCGCUGGUUUUUUCUGGAGCAAAACAGGCGGGGAGCAAGGAAAGUAUUGGGUAGCAUGGGAAGACAUGUGUUUUCCUAGGGCUGAAGGAGGUGUGGGUUUUCAAUCUAUACAUGAUGUUACCAAAGCAUUAUUCUGUAAACUAUGGUGGAACUUUCGAACUUCCACUUCAUUAUGGAGCUCUUUCAUGUGGAGUAAAUACUGCAAGAAGUUUCAUCCUCUAGUGGUUAAAAACAUAGGAGUUUCACAUGCUUUGAAGAAGAUGAUUCAGGUAAGAGAUGAGAUAGAGCAUGACAUAUGGUGGCAAAUAAAGGCUGGAGAGGUGAGUUUUUGGUUUGAUAAUUGGACAAAAUUGGGAGCACUUUAUUAUAUAGAGGAGAAAGGAGAGAUUGAUGAUGAAAUAGAAGUUCGGGAGCUGAUAGAGCAGGGGAGUUGGAACAUACAAAGGUUAAGAAGUAUGUUAUCAGAAGAGAUGGUCCAAUUCAUUGUGGAAAGUUUUGUCCCUAUGAUUAUAGAAGGUAAAAAGGAUAAAACAUGGUGGAUGGGAAGUUCGAGUGGGAAUUUCACUGUAAAGUCAGCGUUUGAAGGGACUAGACAUAAGAAAGAAGUUAAUUGGUGGUGGAGUAAGAUAUGGUGUAACGGAAUUCCUUUCAAGAUUAGUUUCUUUGUAUCGAGGUGUUGGAAGGGGAGAAUAGCUACAGAUGACAACCUGGAAAAGAUGAAGAUUAAUGUGGUAACCAAAUGUUAGUGUUGUGAGGACUAUGACCAGGAAACUAUGAACCAUCUUUUUCUAACAGCCUCCAUAGCUCAAAAACUAUAGAAGCAAUUUGCUACUUGUGCAGGAAUUAGCAUGGAGGGAAGCCUACAACAGAUAAUUACUAAUUGGUGGGGAGCAUCAAAUAAGUCAAAGAUGAGGUCAAUAUUACAAGUAAUUCCUGCCAUUAUUAUAUGGGAGCUUUGGAAGAGGAGAAAUGCUAAAAGACAUGGGAAAGAGGUGUCCUAUUAUAAGCUGCAUCAACAAUGUCAAGACACUGUGUAUAAGCUGAUUAAACAUCUUUACCCUUGGAUUCAGAUCCCAAUAAAUUGGGAAGGAAUGUUAGGGGUUAUGAAGGAGUACAGACCUAAGUUACACUAUCAUAUUGUGUAUUGGGGACUGCCUCAAGAGGGGGGAGUGAAGUGCAACACGGAUGGAGCAAGUAGAGGAAAUCCGGGGGAAAGUGCAUAUAGUUUUUGUGUUAGAAAUCAGGCAGGAAAUCUGAUGUAUGCAGAAGCAUGUAAGAUUGGCAUAAGGACUAAUAUGGAGGCAGAAACAGUGGCAAUCCUAAAAGCCCUCAGAUACUGUAAAAUUAAGAAAAUCAACAAAGUGUUGAUUGAGACAGAUUCACUGGGGGUCAUAUAAAUGAUAAGAAAUGAGUGGAAAAUUCCAUGAAAUCAGGCAGAGGCGAUGGAAGAGAUUCAGGAAAUUAUAGAGAACAUACAAGCAAAUAUUACACAUGUUUUUAGAGAAGCUAAUCAGCUAGCAGACAAGUUGGUCAAUGAAGCAUAUACGCACACUGGUCGAAAGCAAUGGGAGAAUUUUAAGCAGUUAUCAGGUGAAUGCAAGAGUAUUUUAAAUGCAGACAAAUCAGGUAUCCCUACUUUGAGAAUAGAAACAAGAAGAAUAAGAGUGCAGCUGAAUAAUCAUGACAAUGUACAAAGUUAAAGCAUUCAAAGAAUAUCUUGCCACAGAAGGGAUUACAAAAAAGUGAGAUUUAAAUGUACUAGGAUAUCUGUGCUAAACUAUUACAGUUUAUAGAAAGUGUUACGAGCAAGAGAUGAAAGCAACAAAGUCAGAUUGGGAGUUGCGAACCUGGAGCGGUGAAGACGACCAUGGACGAAGGACCUAACGUUUCAGCUGCUAAAAGAAUAAAAGAGCAAUGAAAUUGAAGAAAGAGAAAAGACGAGAAGAAAGUAGAGAGGUUUACCUGAUCAUAACGAAGCUAUGCUGUAAAAUUGAUUCUGAAAAUCAAGACAAUCACUAAAUAAGUGCUCAGCAGACAACAAGCAAAAUAGGAUGUUUCAAAGAGUAGAGGAAGAGAGUUACCUUGAUAAACUGAGUUGUUACUAAUGGAAGAGUUGAAGGCAUCGUUGACCCAAAGCAAAUGGAACAAGGAGCUGAUGGAAGCUCAACAUAAUCCACAUUUGAGACAAGAACACAAAAAUGAAGGAAGACAAUUUUGGAAAGCUAGUGGAUAGGAAUUUAGAUAUUUGGGGGCAUUUUGGAUUGGGCCAUUUGGGUCGGGUACAUUUAUUUAGUUUGGGCCAUUAUGACCAAGUUUUGUACUGUUUUAUUGUCACUCAAUAAAAGAGCUCUAAGCUCAUUAUUUGAUUAAACAAAAAAAAAGGGUUGGAAAGAGGGACCUCUCCCGUUGUCGUCGGCUUCGGCUUCGGAAAAUGAUCAAGCGAUUAGUUUUUGGACAAAGUUUUAUUUAUUUAUUUAAAUUGCCAAACAUUUUAAUUAUUUAAUUAAUAAAGCCGAAACGACUCGAUCCGACUCAAAUCCGCGCGACCCGUUUUAUUUAAAACUCUUUCCCAUUUUAUUUGAAUUUCCCGUCGUUGGAGAUGACUAUUCUGCAAGAUUGCAACUUUCAGGAACAACCAUAACCGUUUGAAAGGUUGCAAACUUUCGUGAAUGAUCGUAUGGAUUCUGAAAUGUUGCAACCUUUCAGAACCUUUCAGAACCUUUCAGAACCAGUUCCUCUUGUCUAUAAAUACCUUUGAUUCCACAGAUUUUUACUUACGAAAUUUCUGACUUCUUCUUCUUCUGCACAGAUUUUAUUUGUGUAUAUUACUGUCGUUGAGUGGCUCGCUGACACCAUAGUUUUGGGUAUCAAUACACUGGUGAUUAAGAUCGUUCUGUCCUGGUAGGAUAUAUUCCAAUUCAAACCUCGUAUACUAGAGGGAGAUAAUUUCCUUAAGGGAACAAUGUGCAUUCGGUGGGCUCGAGUUUCUUUUCAUUCUGUUUCAUACAGAUUCUGGUAUGUUUUACAGAUUUUAGUUUUUUUUUGUUAAUUAAUUUUUGUUUCUGACUGGAUGAUUUAAACUUUGGGAAUUUACUGUUCCUGCAAAUUUUUGUUAUCACCAGUAUUGUUUAGAAUACAGAUUGCAUAACACAUGCAAUAUAUUUUGAAUACAUUCUUUGUUGUACAAAAGAGGGGCUAGCUAAUGAAUAUUCACACAAUAUAAAUGUGUUGUAAGAUGAGUGUUGUACAUAUUGACACACUACAGUAAAAACGACUUUUAGCGGCUAUAAAUAUGUGUAUUAACAAAAAGUGUUAAUUUUUUUACCGGCAUUAGCUUAUUGUCAUUGGAUCCAAUGUCACUAUAGGCUUUAGGGACGACAUUUAUAAUGAAUGUUAAAUGUCACUAAAAACUUAUAUUUAACGGCAAUUAAACCAUUGUCAUUUAUUAAUUGCUGCUAAAGAUCAUUUUGAUAUAGUGACACUUAGGCCUCAUUUAUUUUCAUUAAGAUUAAGACGUCUGAAUUUGAAUGCACAUCUGAAUAAUUAAAACGUUGCCUCUAAAUCUAAACAUUAAACACUGAAUAAUUAAUCAACAUCUGAAUAUGCAUAAUUUAUUAAUUUAUUAAUAUCCAACACUUGCAUAUCCCUACUAGUGUUGCUCUUGUAGAUCCCCCAACAAAUUCAAACUUUCAAAUAUCCACUAAAAUUAUUUUUAAGCUUCGAACUCAAAUUUAAAAAAAGAACAAGAAUAAUUAGAUUCAAAACUUAAUUUAUUUAUUUCUUUGAUUUUCGAAUUGAUCUCACGCCCUACUCACAUUAUUAAACCUUACCAUUUUUGACAUUGCAAUUCAAUGAGAACUACCUUAAUUUUAACAACGGAAAUUAAUAUACCAAAUUGAAAACAAGUGGUUGUGGCAAUUUUGAUUUUAUAAUAUAAAAAAUAUUUAUUCUGUCAUUUGUAUUAGAGAUUAGAUAAUAGUUUAUGUUUAUAUCGAUUUGACUUUAAAGGAUAAAAAUGAAUUAAAACGGUAUGUUUGGAAAUCAUGCCAUGGAUGACUUGCUUUUGCAGUAUAGGAAGAUGAACUGGAUAAUAAUAAUAAUAAUAAUAAUAAUAAUAAAUAAUAAUAAUUUUAAAGAGAAUAAAAUAGCUAGAAUAGGGUCCAACCUUACACUCUAUUUUACUCUCCAAAUAUAGAGUUAUCUAUUUUUUUCAGACAAUCAACUCUAACCCAAUUCUCUAUUUUAUUUUCUAAAAAAAAAUCUUUUUUAUAAUACAUAAAUUAGGGGACAAAUUCAAAUAAAAGUGACAUACAAUUACAUAAACACUCAAUUUUCAAAAUUAUUACGUUGCUCGCAUAAAUGCUCUAUUAAUGCAUUACGGAGUUCAAAAUGAGCAUUUUUGUCCUUAAUUUUUUUAUGUCUAACUAAAAAUUGUUCAAAUCGGAGAUUUUCAUCUACCACCAUUUCUGCGGUUGGAGUUGAAACCUCUAUGACAUCUUGAAUUGGUGCAUUAAGAUCACGUUCAUCCUCAAUUAUCACGUUGUGCAAUAUAUUACAUGUAGUCAUUAUAUCAUGUAGCACUUCCUUUCUCAAAAACGUGACGGUCCUGCAAUAAUUGCAAAACUCCGAAUGCACGUUCGACAUCUUUUCGACAUGAUUCUUGUUUCAUCGCGAAUUAAUUAUUAUGUUAUGUAUUGUAUUUUAUCUUGUAUUUAAAUUUUUAUGUUAUGUAUUGUAUUGUUAUCUUGUAUUUAAAUUAAAUUUUUCAUCUUAUCAGUUUAAUUUUGUGUAUUCUUAAUAAUGAAAAUUAAUAAUAAAAUAAAUUUUUAUUAUUGAUGAAAAUUAGAAAAAAAUUAAAAAUACUAUUAAUUUGAAAUUAGAGUAGUAUAUAUUAAAUAAUAUAUUUAAAAAAAUAUUAUAUUACAUUUAAAAAGAAUUAUGAAUAUUAGAUAUUUAAUUAAUAAAAUUAUAUGUAAAAUAAUAUGUUAAUUAGAAAGUAAUGGAAAUAAUAAUAAAAUAUUGAAAAAGUGAAAUAGAAAGUGUGAAUAGUAGUUCUCCAAAUUUAGAGAGUGAUUUGGAGGUGGGUUGGAGUGCCCAUUCUCUAUUUUACUCUCCAAAUAUAGAGAAUGGAGAGUAAAAUAAAGGUGGGUUGGAGAUGGUCUAAGUGGCUAGAUCUGAAUAACAACAUGAGCAAAAGGAUCUGAUAUACCCCUUAAUUUUGUUAUUUAGAGUCGAUAUAUCCAUUGUUAUGAAAAUAGCUCAUAUAUAUGUAAUGACCUGUUCCCGUCGUUAUAGAAAAGCCAACGGGGAAAUUUUUUGAACCGAAAAACUUUUUUGUAGUAUCUUAAAAUUUCCCAACCUAGUCCAGAUUUGGGCGAAAUCAGAGUCAGUAAGGUCUAGGGAAAUCUGGUAACAAUUGGGUGAUGUAAUUAUGAAUUGGAUUACAUGAGUGGAUAGCUAAGACGUUAAGGAACCCGUACGACUUUACGGAAUUGAAUUCGGGCGAGUAGAACUCCUAAAAUUGAUCUUAGCGUGAAUGAGUAGUUUCUAAGUGUCAUUGAUUGAAAGUGUGUUGUGAAAUGGGGGUUUUUGGAAUUCUUAAUUAGAUCUUUGUUUCGUGCAAGCCGCUAGGGCGGGGCUGCUGUUGCGGGACAGUCGCGACCUAAGUCGAAAAUAAACCCUAAAACGUCUUUAAUCUGCAAUUUUCAUUCUUGAGAGUAAGGAGACGAACCCCAGGUGAUUCUUGACAGUUUUCCACCAUUCUUGAGGCUAAAGGUAAGGUUUUAACUCCCCGAUUCCAUUUUUCGAUCCGUAGAAUGUAAAUUCGUGGGUAAUUAUCGAUGGGGAAGGGUUUUGGAACUGUUUAUAUGGUGGGAAAAGCCCUAAUUUGAAUAUUGGGAUCAUGAGUUUGAUCUAGGGUUGAUAAAAUUGUUGGUAAUUCGGGUAAUUAGAUAUUGUUUAUUGAUUCUCGUGUUGUAUUAAUCGUUUGUAGACCAAGAACAAGCGGAACGAAUUCAGAAUGGGAAGAGUCAAGUUUCUUAGGGGAUUUAUGAUUGUUUCAAGGUAGGUGAUGAUUGUGAUUUCAUGAUUGUGUGAUUUAUGUUUGUUCUUGCUUCAUUAUAAUUCAUGUAUGUAUGCGAAUGUUGCAUUAUUGAUCAUAUUAUUCGUAAGUGAGGAUGAUUGAAUAAUUGUUGCCAUGAAAUCAUAACUCGAUUGUAUGAUUAUGAGAAUAUACUUGUGAUUGUGAUUGUGGCUUGUUGCAUUCCGACACACUAACUUGGAUCGGUUGCCACGUUCCGACAUAAACCUAGGAUCGGAUACCACAAAGCGGUACACUAAUAGUUUGGGUUUGGGUUCCAUGAGAGGACCAUUGAUUUGACAUAACUGUAUACUUGAGAAAUGUGAAAUGCUCCGUUGUUCUUAAUGUUGUUGAUAUUGUAUAUGUUCGGUGUAUGUAUGCUAUUAUUAUGUUGUAAUGGCUUAUGUAUGUUGCACUUAGUGGGAUAGUCGCGUGAUCCUACCAGUACAAUGUGGUUGUGUACUGAUACUGCACUUGCUCUUUCUUUGUUGAGUACAUGGCAUAUUCCGGCGGCUAUUGACAGACCUCGCUUAGAAGAUCAGUGAUCGUUCGAAUUCAAGGGUGAGCCAGUUCUUCCGGUCUGCCAUGAGUUCUUUUUUUGUUUAUGUCCACCAUUUCGGACUUAGACUACUACUUUAGUUAGUCUUAUGUUUGGUUUGGGGUUGUACCCCUUCUUGUUUAGACUUGUUGAACUAAAGAUGUUUUGGUACAUUGACUUUCAGGUUCUAGGCAUUACUUUCGGAAUAUUAGUUUUGGUUGUUAGACUUUUGUUUGGAGUUUAUGGGAACUCUAUUUCUUUUCCUUAGCAUUUAAACCUGCUUUCAUAUCUUUAAAUGUCUUAAUUGUUAGUUUGAGUUGUAGUAAUGGUUCUCCCACCGGAGGGUUAGUGUGGGUGCAGAGGUGGAGCCAGGAUUUCAGGUCAAUGGGUUCUAAAUUUUUAAAAAGAACAAUGAUCUUAACCUAAAGUAACAAUCAUCAAAUUAACGAACAAAUACAAGUAUUUUAAUUCACUAAAAACGACGAAUUACUUAAACAUUAUAUGAAUAUAAGCAUUAUCAUUACAACUGCACUCGACAAGGUAUCAUAUUUUGAAAAUGAUCAAUAAUCACAUCAUUAGUACACUUUCAAAUAAUAAUUCUUCUAUACAACAAACUAAACAAUCAUUUAAAAAGUCAUCACCAAUUCUGCUUCGCAAGUCAUUUUUAAUGAACUUCAUUGAGGAAAAAGCUCUUUCCACGGUUGCAGUAGCCAAAUGUUAUAUCAAGCUUAACUUCACAAGAAUCCUGACUUUUGGAGAAAAAAAUUGCGUUAAACUUUUUGAAUGUGAGUAGAAAUCAAUAGUCAAAUAUUGUUUAGAGUACGACACAAAUACUAUUUUUUUUUUUAUCAUUUUCCAAUUUUUUGUUUUUUUAAUUUUUUUUUUAUAUAAAUCCACGCAUGUUUUUACUUAAUCCUUUACCGAUUUUAUGUUAUUUUAAAAAAAUAAUUAUUACGACACAAAUACUAUUUCCUUACCGAUUUUCUAUUAUUUAAAAAAAUAUAUAUAUAAACAAAAGUUUAGAAAUUAAUACCCAAAAACAGUGCAAUGCUAAACGAAAUUAAUCCCCAAAAACAGUGCAAUACUAAACGAAAUUAAUCCCAAAAAUCAAUGCCUACCUGGGGGAUUGAAGAAUUUCAUUGGGUGCGCAGCAACCAUUGCGCCAAUCGCUUCAAUUUGUUUAUGAGUUCGCAGGAAAUAUAUAUAUACAUUUCACUUCAUAUUAAUACAAAUAUAGGAUCUACGGAAAAGCCAAUGGGUUCGUCCGAACCCCCAUUGUAUAGGGGCGGAGCCGCCCCUGUGUGGGUGUCAAUCACGACGGUCUAGAUCGUGACAAUAUAUCCUUAUCGUUAUAUAAAUGGCUCACAUAUAUCAGGUCAUUCAGAUUCAGACCUCUAUUAAGUGUAAGUAAAUGACCCCUUAUUUCUAAUCGGAUAAAAUAAUCAGAUAUGUGUAGUUUCUUACACACAAUAUAAAAGUGGUGUACAUAUUGACACUUGUUUCUAAUAAGACAAUUAUAAGAUAUUUUUAUCUACAUCAGUACAUGUAGUUUUUGAUGAAAGUUUAUUGUUAUGUAAAAAUUGUACCGAUUGAUAAAUUGAAUAAAUAAAAAGUUAUUAAAUAAGUUAUGUCCACCAUUUGUAAAAAUUCGGUGUAGUGUGAAUAUUGGUGGAAUUUCUGAUUUAGUGUAUUUUCUGAGAUCUUUUCAUUCGUGAAAGUAUACACGGGCGGAUUUAUGUAAAAAGAUCGAGGAGAUGCACAUGGAUUGUAAAUAAGUUAAAAGAAGUAAUUUUGAUAUCUCUCUUAAAUUUGCAUUGGUAUUUAUCUUCUUUUUUUGGGCUAAAUUUUUAACCUUUUUUCUAAUUAUUUUCACCUAAAAAUAUUGAUUAAAAUUACAUAAACAUCCAAUAUUAAUAUUUUCCCUUGAAUUUCUAAUUAUUUUUUAAGAGUCUGCUUAUUUUUGAAAAUCCAUGUAUGGCUGCAUAUAUCAGUUUCUUUCAUUAAUUACUUAUUAUUAUAAUUUAUUUGUAUGAAUGUAUCAGGAUGUUUAUAAAGGGGGUUCGAAGUAUUAUGCAAAUAUGUAAAAAUUAUAAGAUGAAAAACAGAACGGGACAAAAAGAAAAAAAAAAAAUUAAUCCGCUAAAUGACUUGCUUUGACAUGCUAUAUUUAGUUUUUCCUACUUUUAUCCUAUAAUUAUUUAUGGAUCGUCAAAACUAUCCGUUCUUUAUUGAAAUUUGAUUCUUCUAUAGUUAUAUUUGUCAAACAUCAAAAUUGACUUUAGCUCAACUUAACAUAUUUUUGUUACUCCAUUAUUAUUCUCUUUCUUCCAAUUCUUUAAACUCAAAGCACAAGAAUUUGAUCCUUGGAUGAAUUUGAUGAUCAGUUUAAACUUCACUUUAUUUGCAAAAGAUCAAAACCCCAAAGUUUCAGAAGUGAGAAUUGAACCGAAACUGCAAUUUUGUCACGUCCAAAUUAAACAUCUGAUAACAUCACUCUCAAGAUACAUUAGAUUUCUUGUUCAAUUAGCUGUGGAAACCUUUCUUUUAAAUUAAACAAGAUGAACGCACUUCCAAAACUUAUGGGUGACAACAUUAGUAAAACCUGGAGGUAGUCGUAGCACGACCACAAGUACCCCAAUUUGAUCUGAAAAGUCUGAAAUAUAAAACUUAACACUCAAAAGGCAAGUUUAUUUCGAGAUAGUUGAUAGAAAACCUUUAUUAAGAUGAGUUGUUGGGACAAGCCCCCAACUAACUCUAGUUGUCUAAACAAAAGACAUAAACAACUGAAACAAAACAAAGAGAUUGUCCUCAAAAGACAAAGAUUCACCAAAAUGCUAUUGAGUUGGCUGUUGGAACGAUCUGGAUGUUGAUAUUCGUUCGAACCUAUAUAAAACAAUAUAGGAGCAAGAGUAUGUUGUCAAUUCUUUGACUGUACUGAGUAUGCGAGAUCGACAAGCAUCACAAGUCUAAUAAAUUGAACAUGAUAAAUCUGAAGGACUGAACUGAUAAACACGAACUAAUGCAAUGACCAAGUGAAACAACAUACAACUGAUAAGUACUGGAGAGGAAUAACUAAAUACAUGGUUAUGCAAUAUCUGAGAAAACUGGAUUGUGGCAUAUAAACUUAUAUCGUGCCAGGGUAUAGAGGCUGGUCUGAUCUAAUAAGGAUCAAUUAAGCUGAUAACAUAGGCCUACUAUGACAUCAAAUAUGAAUAAAAACGUCAUCUAUGCAUUACAUCAAAGACGUUAUUCUAUCGACCAAUAGCAGUAGAAUUGUAAUGUAAACAAACCUCAUAUAUAUUCCAACUGUGCGAUGAUGCUUGCAAAGACCAGGUAACCUUGGGACAUAUCAGACAGUAGACAAUAUUCAUUAUUUGCAUGGUAUGUAUCCAUUAUGCCUGCAUUUCAUAUUGGAAUAUAUAAAAGUUAGACUAAACUUACCAACAAGAAGAAGAAUCAGAUAAUAUAUUAACAAGCAAAAUGAAUGAAUUACACAAAACAAUUUUAAGCAAAUGCACUUCAUGAGUCAAAGUAAGAACAAUUUUAAGCAAUUUACCGUAGCCAGUAGAUUGAACAUCAUAACCUAUGUCCUGUCAACAAAUAAUGAAUAUAUAAGCUAUUGCAAAAUCGAAGAUCAAACAAGUAGAUUUGAAAGAAGUUACACACCUGGAGAUCUCUUAUCAAUGGCAAACUACCGGUUAUAGAAUAUGGUUCUAAAUAACCAACUACCUCUUCGGUAGCUUUGGAUAGUACUUUAUACCCCAGAGAAUUGAGAUCACAAGCAACGCCAGAUGAAGUUUCGUCAAAAGUUAUAGUCAUUCUGGUGGGGGAUUAAAGUGGAACAACAUUAGUAAUAAAUAGUAAGAUGAAGAAAUUACUUGAGCAUAUAUAUAUACCUUCCCCUUAGGUUCUCAUCUGGGAGAACAUAUUUUGAAACAGGGCCUCGAGUAUCAAGUUUUUCGAUAUUGGCAUUCAAGUCAUCAACAUAUUCUUGUAAUUUCUUUAUAACAUCUGAUACACUGAAAAAGAAGGAUAUUGCAUUGUUAGAAUGUCCAAGAGAUUCAGUUGUUCAUGUUCUGUUUUCAAAGAGAAAUUUAAUCUUCUUUAUAAAAGGAAUUAAUAAUACAUACUUGUAAAAUGGAGUCAACCUGCAAGAAAAUAUAUAGUUGUGAUUAGAUACUACUCAUUAUCAUUUGAUGAAAGAUCUGAUCAAGAAGAAGAAACUUACCUAACAUCUCCAGACACAGUGCACUCACCAGGAAUUUGGUUGAUUCCACCCCCCGGAUCUAUAAGAGCAAAUGAUGAUAAAUUUAACACAUAAAAAUAUAAUUGGAGAAUCAGUUUUAAAAUUUUGACAACUUACAAAACCACUGAGUUGGUUUCAUGGUGGAUGGUGUCUCAAAUUUAUAGACUUGUUCUUUUGGAUGGGGAGGGAAAUCUCUAUAGAAGCGGGACUGAAUUUCUUUCAGUGCAUCCAUAGCAAGUUCCAAAGCAUUGAUAGCCUAACCAUUUGCAAUUAAUAAAUGUCAUACAAAGUUAAUUACAAUCACACUAGAGUAUUUAAAGGUUUCUACAAUAUAAUUGCUAGUAGACAUACUAUGUAAACGUUUGGAUUGACUUGGCUUUCGACUUAUUCAUAAAUAAAUCAGCAUAUGAUAUGAAAAGUAAUUAUAUUAGUAUAUGAAAAGAAAAAGAGUACCUUGUUGGGGAGACCACUGUGGAAACCCUUUCCGAUUACCUCAAGUUUCCACGGUAUAGUUCCACCAGUACCAAUGCAUGGUUGUUUAUCCGCUGCGUCAAUCCAGAAUCUAUAUAGACGAAUAAACACUUUAAAUAAAUUCACUAUAUAUCUGCAAUGAAAUUUUAUAGUUACUUACAAAGGGCCUUGCUUUAAAUUAUCAAACCAUCCAUCCCUAUAUAAUGCAUCCACACCAAUUCCAGGGAUAGAUGAGUUCUCUUCACUCGCUAUGAAAAUAGCAAUCACUGUCGAUUUCAAUUUUGGCUUUGUCUCUCCCAACCUCUUCAUAAGCUCGGUAACAAGAGCCACAUGACCUAAACAGUCAGUAGUUCCACGUCCUUGAAGUUUAUCAUCAUCGAUGCUCAAUGAAAACGGAUCAAAUUUCUGAAUACCAAUAUAUAUAGUUAAUAUCUAACCAUUAUAUCAGUACUGGACCAUUACCGAUGACAAAAACAUUAUGAAUCAUUUUGUACAUUACAAGAAUUAAGAAAGACACAUCAUUUAUACCAUAUCCGUUAAAAUCAGAUAGAAAGGCUAAUGUCAAGUGAAAUACGUAGUAAAUUAGUUGAAUGUGAAUUUGAUUAAUACUAACUCCAUAUAGUAGUGUCUUGUCCAUAUUUAUGAUAAUGUUUUUAAAUUUUAUUUUGAUUUAAAAAAAUAUACUUUUGAAAAAAGUGAAUCCAUAAUAAAAUGAAUUAGCCUGACUUGACCCACCAAAUUUCAAAGCUCGAAUGAGUUAGUCCAAAUGGAGUGGGCUAACCCAUAUUGAGAGUUCUACGACUUACCCACCCCUAAUUUUUUUUUUAAAAAUCAAACAGAAAAAUUUCAAUUUUUUCCCCCCCCCCCCCCCCCCCGCUCACCCUACCCACACAACUUCCACCCACUACCCAAUUUCUUUUUUAAAAAAGAUAAAUAAAAAUAAAAAUUCAUACACCCCCUACCCUCACCNNNNNNNNNNNNNNNNNNNNNNNNNNNNNNNNNNNNNNNNNNNNNNNNNNNNNNNNNNNNNNNNNNNNNNNNNNNNNNNNNNNNNNNNNNNNNNNNNNNNNNNNNNNNUUCCCACCCACCCAAAAAUAAAAAAUAAAAAAUAAAAUCAAUUUUUUUUAAAGAAAUAGUUAAAAAAAAAUUCACACACCUCCACUUCCACCCUACCUCCACGGAUCCGGACCCCCCUCCAACCCCUCCUACAUAAUUUUUUAAAGGGAAAAAGGUCUGAAAUAUAUCUAAACUUUGACCGAAAUUGUUGUUACGAUACCAAACUUUAUGGAGGACCUUUUACCCCUGCACUAUUUAAUAGUGUAUUUUAAAGGUAUAUAUGUGCUCACAUGGACAUCAAAAAUAUUGCAUCAUUAUAAAUAGUAUUGUGUCCACGUGGGCACAUAUAUACCUUUAAAAUACACUAUUAAAUAGUGCAGGGGUAAAAGGUCCUCCAUAAAGUUUGGUAUCGUAACAACAAUUUCGGCUAAAUUUGGAGUAUUUUUUAGACCCUUUUCCCUUUUUUAAAAGAAAAAAAUUCACCCUAACCACCUAAUGUUUUAAAAAAAAAUAUAUAUAUAUAUAUAUUUUUAGUGCAAUUAAGGAUUUUUUAUUAUGAGCGGGUAAAUCUAAAAUAAAUAAAUAAAUUAUGAGUGGGUAACCCAUGAAUUUUCAUAUUUUUCUCAUUUUGUCCAUGUUUGUAUAAGCACUAAAAAUAGAUUAGCUUAUAUUUACGUAUUUAGGAAAUAUGAGUGAUCAAUUUAAAUAAAUAUGAUUAAAAUAACUCUAUUCUUUUUAUAUGGGAUGAAAUUAUCACCCCUAUUUCUAAUGUUGGACGUGGAAGAUAGUAAGUACCUAAUAAAAUAGUAAAGGUACGGAACGAAAUACCAAAGAUAUUUUGAAAAAUAAUGUAAUAGACAUAAAGAGAUGUAGCAAAAUUAUAAGUAAUUUACAUGCAUACCCAUUCAUCAGGAUUGGCAGUAACCACAUCCAGAUGCAUUCCAACAAAAGAUACAACUUUUUUUGGGUCAGUACCAGGAUACUCCACAAUAAGAUUACCCCUAUUAGGAGUAUAAACAAUAUGAUUGAUGAUCAGUGGUCCGCCAUUGUUGGUGCUAAAUGGAUUAAGGAUAUCAAGAACAUGUUUCACAUUCCUGUCUUCCUCCGGGAUAAGCUCCGGUGGGUUGUUCUGUACAUAUUUCGACUCGCCGAUCAGUUUCUUCAAAAGAGUUACGAAUGAAUCCUCAUUUAGAUCGCCCAAAAUCUGCUUUACAUCAGCCAUGCUAAUAAUAUGGGAACGCAAGUGCUAAGCUCACGCUUUUCUUUUCACAAAGUUUGAUAUG